UGCAAAGCUAUUCAUUUCACAUAAGAGUACAUCAGAACUGAAGAAACGCCUUGCGGAUGAUUAUCUAGCUUCUGAAAAAGCAAAAAUGGCCAAAUCAUAUCCUAGUGUUGCUUCACCUGCACAAUCUUUGAUGGGUGUUUAUCCAACUGGUCAAAACCAGUGGGCAGCUAGCUAUGGUUUACAACCGCAAGCCUGGCCUCCUGUCGCUCAAGCACAGGGGCAACAAUGGGCACCUGGUUAUACACAAUCGGCUUCGUAUGGUGGGUAUGGAAGCACAUACACGAAUCCACAAGUGUCCACAUCGGUGUCACAAGCCUCCACUUAUGCGACGUAUCCUCCUACAUACUCUGCCCAGCCAGCAUAUGCUGCUCAGAGUUAUGCCCAACCGACCGCUCAAGCGACAAUAGCACCAUCCCAGCAGCCAGCUUCAGUCGCUCAGCCGUAUUAUGGUAGUUACUAUAUGAAUGGAUGAGAAAAGGGCAUUGGUAUUGGUAACUGUAAUCUAAAAUUUUCCCCUCAUGUACGAAUUAGAUCUACUGACAUCCUUUACCUUUGUUUUUUAGGGACAUGGGUAUGGUAUAGUAUAGCUAACACAAACUAGGGGACAGUUCUUAGAAUCUUCUUCCUAA
rnacentral:misc_RNA from 1 species